GGGGCUCGCAGGCGUUUUCUUAGGUCUGAUGUGAAAGCCCCCGGCUCAGGCGGGGAGGGUCAUUGGAAACUGGGAAACUUGAGUGCAGAAGAGGAGAGUGGAAUUCCGCGUGGAGCGGUGAAAUGCGUAGAGAUGUGGAGGAACACCAGUGGCGAAGGCCACUCUCUGGUCUGUAACUGACGCUGAGGAGCGAAGGCGUGGGGAGCGAACAGGAUUAGAUACCCUGGUAGUCCACGCCGUAAACAAUGAGUGCUAAGUGUUAGGGGGUUUCCGCCCCUUAAUGCUGCAGCUAACGCAUUAAGCACUCCGGCUGGGGAGUACGGUCGCAAGACUGAAACUCAAAGGAAUUGACGGGGGCCC
rnacentral:rRNA from 1 species